UGAACCUGCGGAGGGAUCAUUACAGAGACUCUGCCCUUUGGGUAGACCUCCCACCCUGUGUCGUUAUACCUUCGUUGCUUUGGCGGGCCGCGGGGCCCCGGCCCCGCCCCUGGCUCCGGCUAGGGCGCGCCCGCCAGAGGACCUCAAAACCUGAAUGUUAGUGUCGUCUGAGUACUAUAUAAUAGUUAAAACUUUCAACAACGGAUCUCUUGGUUCUGGCAUCGAUGAAGAACGCAGCGAAAUGCGAUAAGUAAUGUGAAUUGCAGAAUUCAGUGAAUCAUCGAAUCUUUGAACGCACAUUGCGCCCCUUGGUAUUCCGGGGGGCAUGCCUGUUCGAGCGUCAUUACAACCCUCAAGCUCUGCUUGGUCUUGGGCGUCACCGGUCCCGGUGUGCCUUAAAAUCAGUGGCGGCGCCAUCUGGCUCUAAGCGUAGUACAUACUCUCGCUACAGACGUCCGGUGGAUGCUGGCCAGCAACCCCCAACUUAUCAAGGUUGACCUCGGAUCAGGUAGGGAUACCCGCUGAACUUAAGCAUAUCA
rnacentral:rRNA from 1 species